rnacentral:rRNA from 1 species
UACAGAGGUCUCAAGCGUUGUUCGGAUUCAUUGGGCGUAAAGGGCGCGUAGGCGGUUCGCUAAGUUGGAUGUGAAAACUCUGGGCUCAACCCAGAGCCUGCAUCCAAAACUGGCGGGCUAGAGUUCUGGAGGGGGUAGCGGAAUUCCUGGUGUAGCGGUGAAAUGCGUAGAUAUCAGGAGGAACACCGGUGGCGAAGGCGGCUACCUGGACAGAAACUGACGCUGAGGCGCGAAAGCUAGGGGAGCAAACAGG